GCAGCCUUCCGCGUCGCUGUUGCCUCUGCCACUUCCUCCGCCGCCGUGUGCCCUUCGGAGUCCCGCGCCCCACCAUGCCCAACAUCGUGCUGUUCAGCGGCAGCUCGCAUCAGGACCAGUCCCAGCGCGUGGCGGACCGCCUGGGCCUGGAACUGGGCAAGGUGGUCACCAAGAAGUUCAGCAACCAGGAGACCAGCGUGGAGAUUGGGGAAAGUGUGAGAGGUGAAGAUGUCUACAUCAUGCAGAGCGCUGCGGGGAAAUUAACGACAACCUGAUGGAGCUCCUCAUCAUGAUCAAUGCCUGCAAGAUUGCAUCAUCGUCCAGGGUGACUGCCGUGAUCCCGUGUUUCCCAUAUGCCUAACAACAUAAAAAGGACAAGAGUCGUGCCCCAGUUUCUGUAAAACUUGUGGCCAAUAUGCUGUCGGUGGCUGGGGCGGAUCACAUCGUCACCAUGGACCUGCAUGCCUCUCGGAUACGGGGAUUCUUUGAUAUUCCUGUGGAUAAUUUGUAUGCGGAGCCCGCAGUCCUGCAGUGGAUUCGGGAAAAUAUUGCUGAGUGGAAGAACUGUAUAUUAUUGUUUCACGUGAUGCAGGGGGAGCCAAAGGGUCACGUCAAUCGCAGACAGGUUGAAUGUGCAAUUUGCUUUCAUCCGCAAAGAGAGGAAGAAGGCGAAUGAAGUGGACCGGAUGGUCCUGGUGGGCGACGUGAAGGACCGCGUGGCCAUCCUCGUGGAUGACAUGGCUGACACAUGCAGCACCGUCUGCCAUGCCGCGGACAAGCUGCUGUCAGCUGGAGCCACCAAAGUGUAUGCUGUCCUUAUCCAUGGGAUCUCGUCUGGACCAGCUAUUUCCAGAAUAAAUAAUGCUGCCUUUGAGGCUGUGGUCGUCACAAACACAAUUCCGCAAGAGGACAAAAUGAAACACUGCACCAAGAUUCAGGUCACUGACAUUUCCAUGAUCUUGGCCGAAGCAAUCCGAAGGGCACACAAUGGGGAAUCCGUGUCCUACCUGUUCAGCCAUGCCCCACUAUAA